rnacentral:lncRNA from 1 species
GGAGUCCUCAGGAAUGCAAUGGUGGUUUUAGAUUGAACGAUGGUAGAAGUUUUAGAUGGUUUUGGAGCUUGCCCGUGUGAGUUCGAGUUCGAAGAGAGAGAGAGACAGAACUGAGAGAAAUCGUGAGGGAGGAGAGAGAGAGGGACAAGGUACGGGAAUUGGGGAAGGUUUUGAGGGAUGUGGGGAUCCCACGUCUCCAACCCAAUCCCAAUUUCAAACUUUUAACAUAGAAACCUAAGUAUAAGUCUUGGUUUAGGUUUCUAAAACCAAUUAAUAUUCUAAUUCACCAAAGUUUAAGAACCUUAAGUAAAAAAGUUUCCAAAUUACGCAAAAUUACAUUUAAGUUCCCGUUAAGUUUAGGACAUUUUCGUAACAUUUUCGUAACUUCACGUCCUCGGAAUUAAAAAUUCCGGGACGGGCUGUGACAAUCUUCCCUCCUUAUAGAAUUUCGUCCCCGAAAUUCCAGCAACCAACUAAAUCAACCAUACUCAUACAAUAGCCUCGGGUAAAUCUCUCUCAUCCGAUUCUCUUUCUCCCACGUAGCUUCUUCCGUUGAAUGGUUCCUCCACAAUACUUUUACCACUUACUCUGUCUAAAUUCUCAGGACCUUCUUUUUCCAAUCCAAAGUCGUCCUUGGUUCCUUAUCAAGUCGAAUCCAAUUUAAUUCUCAAUAGUUGCACCAGAAUCUCAUGUGACGAAUCUGCCACCUAGUGACAACGUAUCGAACCCAAAAUACAUUAAGUACCUUAGCCAACUCUGAAGACAUCACCACUUGUAUGCGACUUAUUGAUUCCUUUAGUGAUCAAAAAUGGUCUGAUGUGUCUAAAUCUUAUCUUGUCUCCUUUCCAAUUCUCGCCAUUUCUGUUCGUGGUGAAUUUUCCAAAAUAUCGAAUCAUGAAACACAUCAUGCACUUAUAACAAAUCUGGAAGCCAUUCAAUUCUAUAAUCAACUUCACCAACCUUUCGAUGAUCACGCUAAGUCCGAUUCAUUUAGGAUUUAACUUGCCUUCCUUUCCAACCUGAGUUAUACUUUUCUAGGGUGAACACUUCGAAAAUAUAAAACCAUUUACCUUAUAUACUCGAUUAGUGGCAUAUCAAUAUGUUGAUCUCUUUUGCCAUUCCUGGUUACUUCAGGUUAACUUAAUCACCUGAAUACUUUGAGGAGACUCAUCCAUAGUCUCAGGGCCUACUAAAACUCUUUCUUGAUCGAAUCUUUCUCUAUUCAGAAGCAUUUCAUUCACACGACGCUUCAGGGACCCUAUGGCGUUAUUUCGGAAACUGCGCACCCAACAUACUUAAGAAACUUAGCAGUUCCGUAAACCAAUUCUUCUUUCUAUAAAACAAAUAAGUACCGUUACUCAACCCUGGAGUAAAUGUACUAACUUGGUACAUUGACCAACUAUCGCUUCAAAUUCAAUCAUAACCAUCCUAUGUAUCAUGAAACUUGUACACAUAAUCCAAAGUAAUAUUUUUCCAUUUCCACUGCGAAACAGAAAAUAACCGUCUCAAUCCAAAGGUUUACUUCUUUCUACUUCAAUCUAUUGACCAAUAAAAACGUCAAAUGGUAUACUAGAUCUCAUUACUUUUGGAAUAUUGCAGAAGUUGUACAGUGUACUUCGUCCAAAAUUGCUUGCUUUAAAUCCUCAGCAUUCGGUACAUACUUCUUACUUUCUUGUAUCCACAUACCAUUUGAUUCACGAAUCAUGUACUCAUUCUUUUUCCUUUCUUUCCUUGCCUUGGUUAAUUCUUAAAUUCCUCGUCAAACAUUUAAGUUUCGAGUACGACCUUACCAAACAGGCCUAACUUGAAAUUUAACAAGUAUAACUUCUUCUCGAUCUUCCAUUCUUAAUUUUUCUUCCGUUGGUUUUCAAUCCACAAGAUGAUACUCUUGGCAAACGUGCCAGACAUUAAUCAUACUGUAGUCUUCUCACCAAGUGCUUCAGCUACAACAAUUCACGAUCACCCUGAUCGUACCAUCAUAAUCACUAAGUAAUUGAAUCCACCUUUGUUGCCUCAUAUCAAAAUCCUUCCGAAUAAACAAAUAUUGGAGACUCUUUUGAUUUGUAAAUCUUGCAUUCUUAUCAACAUAUAAUGUCUCCACAACUUCACAGCAAGGAUGAUAAUCGUGACUUCCAAGUCACCAGUAGGGUAAUUCAUCUCAUUAGGUUCCAUUUGUCGUGAAACAUAUUCAAUCACCCUAACAUUUGCAUCAAUACAUCUCCAAGAAUAUUUAAUGUACCAUCACCAUAAACCAAUAAUUACCGCUAUCUUCUGGGAUUACUAAAAUACGUGCAUGAGUGAGGAAAUACUCCAGUUGUUGAAUCCUUUGCUCACAAUUUCCUUCCCACUCAUACAUAACCUCUUUUCUCCACAGUCUCGUUAAUGACAAAGCAAGGACUGAAAAAUCUUUCACAACCAUCCAAGAUAGCCUGGUAAGCUAAGAAAUUCCGAAUCUCAAUUAUGGCUCGUGGUUCCAAAUUCUCAAUUUCUGCUAUCUUUUAAGGAUUCACUUGAAUACCUUAAGAAUAUAUAACAAAUCUCAGAAUGCCACCUGAUUCAUCUAACUUUAGCAUUUGCUACUUAGCAUACAACCAACGUUCUCUCAAUCUUUGCUUCACCGACUUAAUACAUUUACAUGCUCUGCUCUGGUUCAGAAUAUGCCAGAAUAUCUUCAAUGAAAAUGAUAUCAAUUUAUCAAGGCAUUAUUGGAAUACUUCAUCCAUCAACUCAUAAAACAGCAUGAGUAUCCACAUAGCAUCACCAAACUUCAUAAGGACCAUAACAAGUCCAGAAAACCAUCUUAUGAUCAACGUCACUUAAUAUUCAAUUGGUAGUAACCAGAUCUCAAUUCAAUCUUUGAAUCUUCGCAAUUACUUCUGAGCUGGUUAAAUAAACAUCAGUACAUCACCAUGGAUAACGGUUCCCAAUCGUUACCCGAUUCCAUUGUCUAUAAUCAAAGGAUAGUCUUAAAAUCCAUUUUCUUCCUCACCAACAAACUGGUGCUCCUCAAAAGUGUUGUACUAGGUUGAAUGAAAAUUUUAUCAACCAAUUCUUUCAACUGAAUUUCCAAUUCCCUUAACUCAUCAUGAACCAAUCUUUAACAUAAAUUUAUACCUGGCAACAAAUCAAUAGUGAACCUCAUAUCUCUGCCUGAAGGCAAUCCAGGUAUACUUUCAAGGAAGACAUCAAGAAAAGUCUAACCCUUUCGACAUUAUUCACACUACUCCAAACAACAUUAUUUAGCACCACAUGAGCUAAGUAUUUUUGACAGCCUUUCGAAAACAAUCUCUUUGCUCUUACAGUAUAAAUAACGGCCUGACUCAAUCCACUUUGCAUACUUACAAAAGUAAUCUUUGGUCAUCCAGAUCGAUGGAAAGUAACUGGUUUCCCGUAACAUUCCAUCUAGUCACAACUAUAAACAACCAAUCUAAUGGAAUAAAAUUAACUGAUACAAUAUAAAUUCUAUUAUUAUUAAGCAUUCUAAAUAAGUACAAUACUAACAUAAAAUAAUCUACCGGGUUGCUUGCUUAACGAAUCCACGAAUGAGUUAUUAAUAUUACGGUCUGCAGCCCGCAAUACUGAUAAAUCAUCGUUGUCUCGAUAAGUAGGCAACCACUCUCAAAGAUAUAACAUUACUAUUUUGUCACUCAAUGCAAAAUACAUACACUCGUCUCAACUACAUUUAUUUACUACUCUUUAGGUAAGAACAUACAUAAUAAGAAAUAUAUCAGCCGAAGUCAACUAGAAUGACCAAUACGGCUGAUUCAACUCUUAUCUCAAUAAUACGUCGGCCGGAUCCACUCCGCGUGGUCGGUACGGCCGAACCUAUAACUCACCAAUUUCUCAUGGUCUGUACGGCUGAACAUAUAACUCAUCAAAUCUCUCUGUACUCACGGUCAAUCCGACCAAACUACCAAGUCCAUAACUCUGCUGAAUCGACACUAUGAUAUCAUGGAAAAUUGUUGAGUACAACUGAUUCUAGGGACAAUUCACAAUUCUGCGUCCCCUCUGUUCACAUAAACACAUUUAUUAAUUUCACACUUCCCAAAGUGUUAAUUUUGUACCUGCUGCACAAGGUACAUUUCCUUUACUCGAGACACCUUGUCUCAAAUAUCUGGAUGGAACGAGGCAAGUCUAAAAACUUUCUAUAAUAUUCAUUUAUCGUCAACUUCCUUGAUUCACACUUGCAAACUCUUGCUUACUACCAUCGAUAAAUGCCGGAGGGAUAAACUUUUCCUUAAACAAGUCCUUAAAUAAUUCUCAAUCAGCUGUUUCCUCCGGUGACAACAAUUAACAAUCCUGUUUCCACCAGGAUACAAAUUCAUACCCAAAACCAGGUAGUCGUCUCGACCCCUUGUCAGAAGGAAGAUUCCUUUGACUUGCAUAAUCCAAAACUUCUUUUCCAAACGGUUAAACCGUUACUUCGCUCCCUCAGGUUCAUCAUUUCAUAAGGUGAUUCAAAUUCGACUCAUAAUCCGUCUUAAAAUGUCCCUUUUUAUAAUAGAUUGAAUCACCAUAAUAAUAGUUUUCCCUAAACCGCUAUAUUAGGGAGAUUAAAUUCCUCUAACUAAGUGGCUUGCUACGAGGCGGUGUAGUUCUGACAGAAUUCACUAGAAACUUCUCAAGAUGUCCAAGAUUGCAACCAUGCUCUGAUACCAACUGACACACCCCGUCCCGAAGGAGGGCAUGCUGGCCGUCACGUGAGAGUGACGUAACCAUUUGCACAGUACGGAAGCUUUAAGAUACAAUUUAUAAGUUGAUACACCCGAAGGUGAGUCCUAAUUUUGUCCAAUCUGUCAGAACACCGUCAAAUUCCUCGUAGCCACCACACCUCAGCUAUUCUUUAACCUGGAGGGGCGCAAAACCAAAAUUGAGUGGGUCAGUAAAACAAUUCUUUUCAAAUCCAAUUUUUUCUCAAAGCAUUGUAACCCCUCUCCGUAAAACCUGUAUACUUUCCCAGAAAUGUAAAAUAUAAAUAUACAUAUAUAUUCUCAAAACUUCAUUUUUACUAUCUCAACAUUUUUCUUUAUCAAUCAUGUCAUGCCAUGUCUAAUUCAACAGUUAAGUAUGGAUGCAUCAACAAUAAUCAUAUCAGGUGCAAGAAAGUAAUCAACCGGAGGCCCUCUAAUAGCCAUGUACGGUUGAACCUAGAGCUCAAAAUCUAUCACUCUCACACUCUGCCGGAGUCACUCCGCGUGACCUGUACGGCCUUCUGCACAUAAGUUACGCUCUAGUGCUUUUCAUAAUCAUCUGUGCACAUAAUCUAAGGUCACCCACCAGUCGGAAUCUCACUAACACUCUCGCGACUGGCCUGUCGUACCCACUCCGCGUGGACUGUACGACUAGCAUCUACUUGGAUCCAAGACGAGCGUGCGAUGCGGUGAAUACUAUAAGCACUAAACUAUGGUGCAGGAUUUGAGCUCAAUAUAUAUCAACAUCAUCAUAACAGUAUUUAAAUACUCACCUGAUACUCACCUGUGCGUCCGCCGCACCAAUUCAUACAUAUGCAUCAUAUAUCAUUUCAUAUCAUUUCAUGCAUGGCAAUUCGAUUCACAUUUCUAUAUACUUUUCAUAUACUUUCCUGCAUAGCGUUUCAAUUCACGUUUUUCAUAUAGUUCUAUAUACUUUUCACAUAUUUCUAUUUAAAGCAUAAUUUCAUGCAUUUUCAAUUUCUGGGAAAACGGCAAGUAUAUAUAUAUACUGAAAACAAAACUGCCCACUCACAGAAUACAUCAACGUGUCGAAGGUCCCUGAGCAUCCCUUGGCCAUGCCCGAUGCCCGCAUAAGCCUCACCUAUACAAAAGUAACCAAUUUGGCGUUAUUUAACGCCUAACCCAAUUCUUAGCUAAUAACUCCUCAUAUAUUCCUCCAAUUGGGUAUAUGAAUAUACCACUGUGACCUACACAACCUCAGGAUCAUCCCCAUAUUUUUAAAAUAAUUUUUGGAGGUUUCACGCGCCCCCACGCGCCUGACGUGGCACGGACCUACGCGCUCCCCACGCGCGGCCACGUGCCAAGCACACUGACGGUGUCAAUUGACGCCGUCAGGAAUAUUCUGUUAAAACCCCGGAAUAUUCCGUUAACUUAACCGGAUACCGUUACUGCCGUUAGGAAUAUUCGUUAAAAAUACCGGAAUAUUCCUUCUUCUUCUCCGGUCGUCCCUCGCCGGACUCCGGUCACCGGAAACUGGGGAAUAUUUCAAAUCCACUAUUCUCCUUCGUUUUUCAUCCAAAUUUCUCGAAUUUUACACCAAUUUGAAGCCCUAAACAUCUACUUUCACGUUGGACUAGUUUUAGGGCCUAAAAACUACGAGAUCAAACUUUUCAAAAAUUCAAGAAUUCGGCCAAACUUACAACUCGUGAUCCUGACGUCCAAUUCAUGCCAACGAAGCACUCCGAGCUUCCUUGGGACUUCCUUAAGCUCACUGUGAGCUUGGUUUGGCCUAAAACACAACCAAUUCAAAGCUCAUGAACAGUACACAUUCACGGCAACUUUAGAAACUAGGGUUUUCGAAGUGAAACUUACCUUAAACUGGUACCUACGUGAUCGUGGAGUCCUCAGGAAUGCAAUGGUGGUUUUAGAUUGAACGAUGGUAGAAGUUUUAGAUGGUUUUGGAGCUUGCCCGUGUGAGUUCGAAGGAGAGAGAGACAGAACUGAGAGAAAUCGUGAGGGAGGAGAGAGAGAGGGACAAGGUACGGGAAUUGGGGAAGGUUUUGAGGGAUGUGGGGAUCCCACGUCUCCAACCCAAUCCCAAUUUCAAACUUUUAACAUAGAAACCUAAGUAUAAGUCUUGGUUUAGGUUUCUAAAACCAAUUAAUAUUCUAAUUCACCAAAGUUUAAGAACCUUAAGUAAAAACAAGUUUCCAAAUUACGCACUUUAGUCCCGUUUAGGGACAUUUUCGUAACUUCACGUCCUCGGAAUUAAAAAUUCCGGGACGGGCUGUGACAGCUAAUAUCUUACCAGUUGAUAAGGUACCCAUGUUUAGAAAGCAAGCUACACCAUCUUUAAGAUAGUUUGGCAGUUGACCAAAUGGAAUUCCCCAUAAUUUUGACAAAAACGGUAAGAGGAGACACAUAAAUUGUGCCUGUAAUUCACAUUUACAAUAGAUUUUGGCUUUAAUUAGGUGAGUUCAAUUUCAGGACACCAAAAAUAUAAAUUUGAAAGGCCAUCAAUUUGUAUGCCUUUUUCAAGAAUGCCUGACAAAUUGGGGAAGAAUAGAAGAGGAAUAAAACAUUAUUAGGCAUAAGCCACAUGAUGGAAACAUUGCAGUACACAUUGAUAUGCAAGGUGCAAGACACAUGAGAACUGUUCUCCAAUUAUAGUCCUUACAAAGAGUUAAUUAGACCAGUACAAUGAUACACAAAGAAAGACAUGAAAGAAGUGGGAGAACAUUUAUCGUCGAAGAAAUUAUGUGGUAAUCAACCAUAGAAUGCAUUUCCUUGCAUGUAGGUGUUUCAUUCAAGAAAGUAAUUCAUGCUCCUGCAUGUUAUCGAAUGUUAAUGAAACUGAAAAGACAUAACGAAUUAAAGUUAUGCAACUUAACAAAAACAAAAACAUCUGGGCUGUUCAAGAAAUAAAGUCA